CCUACGGGUGGCAGCAGUGGGGAAUAUUGGACAAUGGGGGGAACCCUGAUCCAGCCAUGCCGCGUGUGUGAAGAAGGCCCUCGGGUUGUAAAGCACUUUCAGUGAGGAAGAACGCCUGGUGGUUAAUACCCAUCAGGAAAGACAUCACUCACAGAAGAAGCACCGGCUAACUCCGUGCCAGCAGCCGCGGUAAUACGGAGGGUGCGAGCGUUACUCGGAAUUACUGGGCGUAAAGCGCGCGUAGGUGGCUUGAUAAGCCGGUUGUGAAAGCCCCGGGCUCAACCUGGGAACGGCAUCCGGAACUGUCAAGCUAGAGUGCAGGAGAGGAAGGUAGAAUUCCCGGUGUAGCGGUGAAAUGCGUAGAGAUCGGGAGGAAUACCAGUGGCGAAGGCGGCCUUCUGGACUGACACUGACACUGAGGUGCGAAAGCGUGGGUAGCAAACAGGAUUAGAUACCCUUGUAGUC
rnacentral:rRNA from 1 species